CUGGGAGAUAAUAUAACCCUCAUUAAUUAUUCAUUACUUAUAAUUAUUCAUUAUUAAUCAUUAGUUCUCCUUUUGGUGCCCCCUAAAGUAAAGUGGUAAAUCAUACUGACUAGUUGUCAAAGGAUUCUCUCAAUACUUCAUGAUUAUGACGAGUAGAUAGUGAGUUAUUACUGUAUUAAAUGUAUUAAACAGAGUAUGUGCCAAUGUGAGUGGGCUUAAAUAUUUGACCAUGGAACUGUGCGGAAAGGCAAUAAACUCCAAACAUGAACUUCUCUCACCAAGUGUAUUGAAUAUUUACAAAAUCCAAAAAAUAAUAAAUAGUCUAAAAUGAAUUGUGACUCCUUAGAGAAACGGAGCCAAUCACUUCCUUUUCUGCAUCCUUAAAAAAACAUAUGUCUAACUAGACAGGAGGAGAACAGGGAACAAGUUGAAGCUGAACAACAAACCGAUAAUAACAAUGCAGUUUGGUGAGCGUCACUGAAUGUAAAGAUAACUUUACUUCCUUGGAAUGUGAAAACUCUAAGUAUAAAAGGAUUUUUUUUUAGGAUGAACCAGUGUGAUUGAAAACAAUCACCAAAGCACACACAACUACUGAAUCAAUGAAUGUCUCUGUUCUCUCGCCAUCAGGACAACCUGACAGCGUUUCGACUGAUGGACAGGAAGCGUAAAGGCGUGGUCCACUGUCAUGAUUUCAGAGGGCUGUACAGCAGCCUGGGAUUCUUCUGCAGAGAGGCCGAGUACCAGAGGCUGCUGGAUCUGAUUGGCCUGCAUCCCGGGGGCAACCUCAACUACGCAGAAUUCGUUGAUAUUGUUGAAAACAAUGGCAAACAUGAGGCACAAAGAACGUGUGUGUAAGUCCGAUAUAUUACUGACCCUUGGACAUUUUGAGAGUUGGCUCUGUUGUGCUCCUAUGUUUGUUUUUCUCUCUCUCCUGACAGACAACAGCAGCUCCAUGAACUCCUGGCAUCUGAAGCCCGCUGCAAGUGGCAGGUCAUGUCGAAGGUCAGAAAAACAUACAAAAAGCCCACCUACAGUGUCUCUGUUUCUCUACGAGUCCCAACGAUUUGUACCUGUACCUCUCUUUCCCAUCAGGUGCUGUGCCAGUUUGACACAGAUGGCCGAGGUUGGAUCCAUAAGAAGAGUUUGAGGGGACUUCUCUUCACCUAUGCUCUUCCCAUGAGUACGGAAGAGUUUGACCAGCUUUGGUCGAGGUAUGACCCCGAGUGCCAGGGCGGUGUGGCAGUUUGUGACUUCCUGGAAAAGCUGGGGUUUCAUCACGAAGUGGACCUCGGACCUCGGAGCCAGAAGCUGAACCAAGCCGUUGCCCAGCAGAACCCCAACGGACCAGUGUCCUCUGAUGCUGCGUCACUGGAGUGUAUCGAGUAAGCGGAGAGAAGAGUAGACGGGAACUGUGUUCGUCCUGGUCAGCAGUGGCAGCUGGCUUCUUCUAAAAAUAGAGGAAAAAAAUAUACAUUUGGAAACUUUAAUGCAGAUUCUGAAUAGGCCUUUUCUUUUCUCUCAUAAAUCAUUGUGUUCACACAGUCCAAAGACACUUCGACACGCUGACCGCAGGGGCUAGGGAUCGAACCACCGACCCUCCGACGACCACUCUACCUUCUGGGCCACAGCCGCCCCUAUAUAUACAGUUACACUUGAACAAGUGAGGAAUUAAAUAAGCC
ensembl:lncRNA